CCCAGGAGGUUGCAGUGAGCCAUGAUCAUGCCACUAUGCCACUGCACUCCAGCCUGGGCA
rnacentral:precursor_RNA from 1 species